rnacentral:Y_RNA from 1 species
GGCUGGUCUGAAGUUAGUGAGUUAUCUCAAUUGUUCACAGUCAGUGACAGGUCAAACUUCCUUGUUUUACUCUUUCUUCCUUCUCACUACUGCACCUGGUCUUAA